rnacentral:rRNA from 1 species
AUCCUACGGGAGGCAGCAGUGGGGAAUAUUGCACAAUGGGGGAAACCCUGAUGCAGCGACGCCGCGUGAGUGAAGAAGUAUUUCGGUAUGUAAAGCUCUAUCAGCAGGAACGAGACAAGACGGUACCUGACGAAUAAGCCACGGCUAACUACGUGCCAGCAGCCGCGGUGAUACGUAGGUGGCAAGCGUUGUCCGGAUUUACUGGGCGUAAAGGGCGUGUAGCCGGGUUGACAAGUCAGAUGUGAAAUCCUGCGGCUUAACCGCAGAACUGCAUUUGAGACUGUUGAUCUUGAGUACUG